UUUCCAAUAAGCCGCACUGCCGUGUGCCCGUGCUGCUGUUUGAUACAUAUUACAGUUUUUAUUAUUAUUAUUCUUUCUUCUGUGUUCCUUUAUUUUCUAUUCGCUGGAACACGGGUGUCCCGCACAAUUACUAAACGCUUAGCACUCAAACACUCCAGUACUCCAGCAAUCGGCAUCUGUCCCCCAAUAUUAUAAUAUUUUUUUAAUCUACACCACUUUUGGGUGACGAAAUCAAUUUUAAUGUCAGAACUACAGUCGGCGCUAUUAUUAAAAAAACAACUGACUGAAUUGCACAAGAACCCAGUAGAAGGGUUCUCUGCUGGUCUCAUAGAUGAUAAUGAUAUUUACAAAUGGGAAGUGCUCAUCAUUGGACCUCCAGACACCUUGUAUGAAGGAGGAUUUUUCAAGGCUCAUCUUAAUUUUCCAAAAGAGUAUCCCUUAAGGCCACCAAAAAUGAAAUUUGUAACGGAAAUUUGGCAUCCUAAUAUUGAUAAAAGUGGUGAUGUUUGUAUAUCAAUACUUCAUGAGCCCGGUGAUGAUAAGUGGGGUUAUGAAAAAGCAAGUGAACGUUGGCUACCAGUGCAUACUGUUGAAACUAUAUUGAUAUCAGUCAUUUCAAUGUUAGCUGAUCCAAAUGAUGAAAGUCCAGCUAAUGUAGAUGCAGCUAAAGAUUGGCGUGACAAUUAUCCAGAAUUUAAACGCAAGGUUGCGCGUUGCGUGCGUAAGAGUCAAGAGGAUAUCUAAUAACAAAUUUGCCAGUUGCUCUAUACACAUGUUACCAACGUAUAAAUCAAUUAUUGAUGCCAGGGUAUCAAAAUGUAGAGCAAUCGACAACAUUUUAUAUAAUGUGAUUUGUAUAUGUAAGUUUUUUUUUCAAAACAUUAAUAAAAUAUGAUAUACUAUCUUUUAAA
rnacentral:misc_RNA from 1 species